UCAGCGCCAUCAAGCGCCUUUUCGCGUGAAAUUCAGCGGCGCAUUAAUCAUUCGGAAAGUGAUAGAAAACGUCAAGAUAGUGUCUGUUAAGUCAAUUUAGAGACAAAACGGCCCUGCAGGAGCAAAAACACUGCAAAAAGACGCGGUUUAUAUCAAAAUUUCGCAUACUACAAAAAGUCGCAUAAAAGUAUCGUCACUCGGAGUCUCGGCGCUCGCGGCCAGCAGCUCACUAACAACACAUAGCCAUAGCCAUAGGCCCCAUCCUCGUUUCAUUGGCAUUGGUUCCCAUGGCGCUGAAGUGGAGGAAGGCCUCACAUAGCUACCGACUUCAUUGCAGGUAUCUCGGCAGGGUAUAAUGUCAGAGUCCCUAUCUCGGGAUGCUGACAGAAUCACGACUACACGCGAGCAGAACCAGAGAGUGGUGCAGGUAGGGGGCGUGGUCGAGGGCAGCCAUGUGCAUGGCCUAACCCCACGCAGCUCUGCCCAGCUGCCCAUUGUUAGACCGAUUGCAAUAGCACUUCCGGAGAGGGCUGUUGCCAGGACUGCUCCAGACAGCAGCCUGGGUCGCUCUGUUGCCAGAGCGACCCCAGACAGCAGUCAGAGUCCCCAUGUGCCACUCAGCCACUCACCACUAGGUGGCAUUCAACUAGGAAGAGCAUCGGAUAGCAACCAAGGGUCUCCGAUCUGUGUACCUAUUCAGUAUCGGCCGUACAGUCAAGGAGUUUAUUCCAGUAGUGGCUUGCUUGGUAAGUAAAACCUAAUAUUUUCCUUGUGAAUAGUAAGAUGUUACUGGGUAG